GGCAGCUCCGAUCUUGCAGAAACGCCUGAAACUGUUUCAGACCAAGGUUGUGCCCAUAUUACUUCCAACUCAGUCUUGUUGGUCCAGAGCUGAAAGCUAAGGAAGGAGUAGCUGCCACUGAAAGGCUGCAGCCUUCACCCUAGAAGAGGAAUGUACAACAUGCGAUCUUAACACACGAGUCUCCCCAGUGAGGAGAUUAUUAGAGUCUCUCUGCAGCAGGAGAUUAACUCUCCCAGCAAGGUGGGCACUGACAUCACCCUCGGCCUCCUGCCAGCAAUCUGCCCCAGCCUCAGCAUCCCCAGCACGAGCAGAGCCGCACCAACCGCUUGCAGCCUUGAGGACAGCUGGCCUUGCAGAGCCCUGACUAAGACAGGAAGCAAACUCAGAAACACUAGAUGGGAAUCAUGCAGAAAUCUGGGCACGUAAGUGCUGUAACAAAUAAGUGUGUGUAUAGGUCAGGGUACAAGCUGCUUUCUGCUUGUAAUCUAGACAAGCUACACAUUAGAAUUACUGCUUAGAAUAAGCAUUGCAGCUCUGCAGAAACUAUUCUACAUUGCUUAGGUAUUAAUAUUCCCAUCAGUCACAUUAGUAAAACCUUUCCUCAUAUUAACAGAAAUUUUUUCGUAGUAACCAAAUCAGUUGACUUCUAUUUUUUUAAUAAACUUUUUCCCUAUGUAACCUG
rnacentral:lncRNA from 1 species